rnacentral:lncRNA from 1 species
CAGUCUUUGAUCACUCAUCAGGACACUCGAAGUCGGAUGGCACUUCCUUGCCGCAGUCCGCAAGAACCUCGAGUGCAGGGGAAAGAAGGAUCUGUAUGUUCAAGGCCUGGGCCUUGAUGGUGGCGCACAGACACAGGGCGGCGUCGAGGUCGGAGAGCCCCUCCAGCACCGGGCAGCACUGGUAACUCACGCCCUCGCCGAUGAUGAUGUGCACCAGCCCCCCGAGUAGGUCCACGCACGAGUCGAGCUUAGCGGUGUCGAUGGGGCAUGUCGGAGUCGUCGGUGAUGGAGGGUAUGGAGUCCGGGUUGGUGGCGACGGCGUUACGUAUGCUGGUGGUGGAGGGCUUGGAGCUGUGUACGUUGGUGGUGGUGGUGGUGAAGGGCUUGGAGUAGUAUACGUUGGUGGCGGCGGAGGUGAAGGCUUCGGUAGUGGUGGUGGAGGGCUAGGAGUGGUGUACGUUGGUGGUGGCGGAGGGGAAGGCUUUUGGUAGCGGUGGCAGGAUUGGCGGUGGAGGGCUAGGAGUGGUGUACGUUGGCGGUGGUGGAGGGGAAGGCUUUUGGUAGCGGGUGGCNNNNNNNNNNNNNNNNNNNNNNNNNNNNNNNNNNNNNNNNNNNNNNNNNNNNNNNNNNNNNNNNNNNNNNNNNNNNNNNNNNNNNNNNNNNNNNNNNNNNNNNNNNNNNNNNNNNNNNNNNNNNGUACGUUGGCGGUGGCGGAGGGGAAGGCUUUGGUAGCGGUGGCAGGAUUGGUGGCGGAGGGCUAGGAGUGGUGUACGUUGGUGGUGGUGGAGGGGAAGGCUUUGGUAGCGGUGGCAGGAUAGGUGGUGGAGGGCUAGGAGUGGUGUACGUUGGUGGUGGUGGUGCCGGUGUUGGAGGAGGGGGGCUCGGGGUGGUGUACGUAGGCGGCGGAGGGCUAGGCUUCAACCGGCUUGGAGGUGGUGGUGACGGGGUUGGAGUGUAAGCCGGUGGCGGUGGUGGUGGGGAUGUGCAGUAGGAGCAGCCAGCGGCAAGUGAAGGAAGGACCAGUGUGGCGAGGUCUACGAACAGUAGCAAGGUAGCCACAGCACACUUCCCCAUGGUCUCAGGGAAGAAGAAGAAGAAGAAGAUGAGAGGCCUGUGAUGCAGUGAGUUGAGGAGCAUUGCAUUCUGCAGGGUAAUAUAUAUUGAAAGAAGCAUGCGACUUGCUCAUGGAUUUCCGUAGCUUAUCGAUGAGUUGGCAAAUGCCCCACUUUGAUCGAUCAAUCUUCACUGUUUCCAAUUCACAAACUGAUUAAGCACAUAAUCUUAGUCAUCCAACUCCAGUUUUCAUCAUCUUUCUAGGCAAAUUAACUGCAACAGGUUGCAUUCAUUGACCUCUUCAGGAAUUAACCUUGCCUCCUUGCUAGAUUAUGUCUAUAUCAUCGUUUUUGGUGGAAUGUUUGACGGUUUCAUGGAAUAGAUAUGACACCUACUGCUGCCUGGCAGAGCUUGGAGCUCAGCUUGCCAUGGAGGGCCAGUCUUUUGCAGUGCCUCAUUUGGCUUAUACAGAAACUGAGGCCGGUGGGAGCUCACUCCGUCCUUGAGUAGUAGAGAAAGUAAAUCUCAAUGACACCAAACCUUCAGUAAUUGAUACUUUCCUCUCUCUGUCUCUCUCUCUCUCUGAGCUUAUCCUCAUCAGUGCAAUAGUUCAGCAGUCUCAAAUGUUGGAAGUAUUAGACCUAAAAGAUAGGACAUACAUGAAGCUUAGUUCAUUAAAUCUUGUCAUAAUCUUCCAUUGACAUGGGUCAAAGAGAGAGAAAGAGAGAGAGUCAAAAUUGGCCAUUCGAGGUGUCUCUUUCAUGGAAACUUCGGUGCAUAAUCUCUAGGCUAAAGCCAUGCAAUGAUAGACCUACAUGUUUGUUGUUCUUUUAGUUCAAGUUGAAUGAAGGAUCACAAGGAGUUAAAGAGUGAUGAAAGGUUCACAUCAUUUCAGCCAUUGGAAUGUAGUGAGUGAGAGGGCUUUCACCUAACAAGUCUGUAGGUUUACUGGCAGCUGAUCCGAAAGGAAUUCAAGGGUGGUAGGCCAUUAAUUGGUACCAAGUUCCUCAGAUACUUCGAAAAGAUUGGUUCUCAUCGUGAGACAUGGAGUCUGUCCUCAAGGAAACCAACAAGAAGAAGAGAAAUCAAUGUGAUUCAUGACUCGAUUGCAAGCUGUAAUCAAAGAAAAAGAAAUCUGCAACGGAGCCAUCGUAGAACAAUAAUGAACAUCAACAGAAGCUCCGUCAAAGCUCAUCUGCAUCUCCUUGUUGACUAUGGAGUCGGCCGACUGUAGCAGAGAGCCAAAUCCAUCCAUUCCAUUGCAGAAAAUGAGUAGAUCAUCUGCAGAAUUUUGGUUGCAUGAUAUCCAGUCUUUGCAAGUCUCAUGAAACACCAAAGCCUCGAGAGUCUUUACAGUUUUGAUAUUUGGAGCAGUAAUCAAUGCUCCUUUAACCUUCUAUAAGUAAAAUUAAAACUGAGAAAACUUCACCAUCAGAACUGAAAUCAAAAUAUCACUGAUCAAAUAUAAAUUAUAUGUUUUUGAUGGUAUAAUAGAAUAUCUCGAACGAACGAACGAACGUCCGAAGUAAAAUAUAAAUUAAUUGAGCCACAUAAUCUCACUGCAUCUCUAUCUCUAGUGCAAGUAAUAUGAACAUAAAAGCAUAACCCUCAGAACUUUGCCUACAAAGACUUGAAUUCUAGUGUGGGCACCAUAUAAUGUAGUGAUCUGAUCCAAUAAAAAUAGAUUCUGCAAUGAAUACUUUGUUUGAGAAUUAGAGGAGUUAUCAUCCUGACGAGGGUAAUAAUUGUGAUAAAACUCGCGUGACAUCAGUUGCCCCGGAUGACGCAUCACGCCUCUAUUGACCUGAUGAGGCACCUGAUCAACGUGGACCGGAACGCCUACCAAGACGCAUUAACGUCAUGUUCAGGUUCGAUCCCUCAUACCACGCCAACGUCAGACGCUACCAGAAGUACGGUCCUGCUCCCUACGGGCCAGCACAUCAGGCAACGGUCAUUCUCACUAACAAAACCCUCGCGCUCAGAGGAGGAGGAGGAGGAGACGGAGAAGAAGACACAACUUAGCUAAAUAAACCCUCCGCGACUACCCACUAACUUGAUCGUCGGAGGGGUUGGGUCGAGCUCCCCGACCCGACCUUUGUGCAAGUGCGAAGUCGGAGGUUGUCCACUAAAUGCGCAGGCGAGGAGUUCUCCCCCAAUGGAAAUGACAAUCCCGUCCCGAUCGGACCAACGCAAUCGACCGCUUCAAUAGUCUCAGGAAACGUCCCAGGAAGAUCCCCUAUCAUCUGGAUCCGAACCAAGCCGCGACGGUCCCGAGACCACGGCUUGAAAUUGGUUACACCAACACAUCCCAAGGAAUCCAGAUUCUGCUCCAUUCAGAACUGUCAGAACUCUGCAACAAUUUUGUGCAGGCUUUCUACUUUCGUUUCUCCUUCCCACUUCGUACUCUAAUCUGCUUCAGAGCCUCGUUUAAGCUUCAUCUCAUAUGCCACCACAAACUCAACUCCUCUGGCGACACAGAAUUCUCUCUGUGGUUAGCUCAAAGAUCCCUCACCAUUAACUUCUUGAUUGGUAUCUUAUGAUACGAUUACAAGAUUCGAAACUUUGAUUCUGUUCUUUCACUGAUUUCAUAGAUAUUUUAUUCAAGUCCUGCGUAGGAGAAUCACUUGAGAGUGCGGUAGAGAGUCUGACAGAUAUGUCGACUACGUUAUGCUCACCAAAGAAAGGCAACGAAUACAACAUGGCGAAGACUGGUUUUGAUGCAGAAAGCAUCAUCACAGGACACGACGAUGAAAAGCUUUGAUCAAGGAUCAGGGCAUUGGUAGUCCGACGGCACGUGCUUGCCGCAGUCCACCAGCACCUCAAGCGCGAUGGGAAGAAGGAUGCUUAUGCCCAAGGCCUUGGCCUUGAUGGUGGUGCAGAGACACAGCGCGGCGUCGAGGUCGGCGAGGCCUUCGAGCACCGGGCAGCACUGGUACGUCACGUCCCCGCCGAUGAUGACGUGCACGAGCCCGCCGAGCAGGUCCACGCACGCGUCGAGCUUCAGGGUGUCGAUGGGGCACGUCGGCGCCUUGGGCGGAGGGGGGCAUGGCACCGAGGUCGGCGGCGGAAUGCUCGGAGUCGGGUACGUUGGCGGCGGCGGCGGAGAGCUCGGAGUCGGGUACGUUGGCGGCGGCGGAGAGCUUGGAGUCGGGUACGUUGGCGGUGGUGGCGGAGGGCUCGGUGAUUUCUUAGGUGGCGGUGGCGGGGUCGGGGUUUUCUUUGGAGGCGGCGGCGGGCAUGGUGUUGUGGCUGGUGGAGGUGGUGGUGGGGUUUUCUUAGGGGGAGGAGGAGGAGGAGGGGUUGGAGUUGGACAGUAGGGACAGGCAAGAGAUGGAAGGAUCGACGAAGCCAAGUAAACACACAGCACGAAGACAGCCACCGUCUCCUUCGCCAUGGUUCGGAGGAAGCCGAGAGUCUGUCUA